CUUAACCGAAGAAGCGCAUCGGAAACUGGGAAACUUGAGUGCAGAAGAGGACAGUGGAACUCCAUGUGUAGCGGUGAAAUGCGUAGAUAUAUGGAAGAACACCAGUGGCGAAGGCGGCUUGUCUGGUCUGUAACUGACGCUGAGGCUCGAAAGCAUGGGUAGCGAACAGGAUUAGAUACCCUGGUAGUCCAUGCCGUAAACGAUGAAUGCUAGGUGUUGGAGGGUUUCCGCCCUUCAGUGCCGCAGCUAACGCAUUAAGCAUUCCGCCUGGGGAGUACGACCGCAAGGUUGAAACUCAAAGGAAUUGACGGGGGCCCGCACAAGCGGUGGAGCAUGUGGUUUAAUUCGAAGCUACGCGAAGAACCUUACCAGGUCUUGACAUCUUUUGAUCACCUGAGAGAUCAGGUUUCCCCUUCGGGGGCAAAAUGACAGGUGGUGCAUGGUUGUCGUCAGCUCGUGUCGUGAGAUGUUGGGUUAAGUCCCGCAACGAGCGCAACCCUUAUGACUAGUUGCCAGCAUUUAGUUGGGCACUCUAGUAAGACUGCCGGUGACAAACCGGAGGAAGGUGGGGAUGACGUCAAAUCAUCAUGCCCCUUAUGACCUGGGCUACACACGUGCUACAAUGGAUGGUACAACGAGUCGCGAGAUCGCGAGGUCAAGCUAAUCUCUUAAAGCCAUUCUCAGUUCGGACUGUAGGCUGCAACUCGCCUACACGAAGUCGGAAUCGCUAGUAAUCGCGGAUCAGCACGCCGCGGUGGAAUACCUUUCCCGGGGCCUUGUACACACCGGCCGGUCACACCAU
rnacentral:rRNA from 2 species